rnacentral:rRNA from 1 species
UUUAUACGAUGAAGAGUUUGAUCCUGGCUCAGGAUGAACGCUAGCGGCAGGCUUAACACAUGCAAGUCGAGGGGUAACAUUGAUUGCUUGCAAUCAGAUGACGACCGGCGCACGGGUGCGUAACGCGUAUACAAUCUACCUUUUACUGGGGAAUAGCCCGAAGAAAUUCGGAUUAAUGCCCCAUAACAUUGAUUUUCGGCAUCGGAAAUUGAUUAAAGUUUCGACGGUAAAAGAUGAGUAUGCGUUUUAUUAGUUAGUUGGUAAGGUAAUGGCUUACCAAGACUACGAUAAAUAGGGGUCCUGAGAGGGAGAUCCCCCACACUGGUACUGAGACACGGACCAGACUCCUACGGGAGGCAGCAGUGAGGAAUAUUGGACAAUGGAGGCAAC